rnacentral:rRNA from 1 species
UACGUAGGUGGCAAGCGUUAUCCGGAAUUAUUGGGCGUAAAGGGCGCGUAGGCGGCCUGGCAAGUGGAAGGUGAAAUCCCUCGGCUUAACCGAGGAACUGCCCUCCAAACUGCUUGGCUUGAGUCCGGGAGAGGUGAGUGGAAUUCCCAGUGUAGCGGUGAAAUGCGUAGAUAUUGGGAGGAACACCAGUGGCGAAGGCGGCUCACUGGACCGGAACUGACGCUGAGGCGCGAAAGCGUGGGGAGCAAACGGG